GUGUCCCGUCUGCCCUCCUCUGUCUGUCAGUGAUGGUGUGCAGGGCCUCAGACAGAGGACACACAGCAACCUCCGCCCAUAUAAGGGGACAAGUCCAAAGAUGUGGGCUUUGUCCUAAAGGCAGGGCAGGACAAA